ensembl:lincRNA Gm45184 predicted gene 45184
GGGAGUUCUUCUGAAAAUCUUGGCAAGUAACCCAAAAAGAACAAAGAAGAGAGCCUGAAGCAGCCACUACCUUCCCCUGUCAGCACUUAACCACAAGAGGCCUGAGCAAGACUCGCAUCUUCUGCAAUACAGAACCAUCCAAAAUACAAAGCAACAACAGGCUCAUGAGCAGACUUUAAGACAGGCUACUACUCUGUUCUGCCUACUAAGGAGAAGGGAAAGCUUCCAAAGUGCUGGGAUUCCAAAAGAUACAGGAAGGGCACAGCUGCCCUCUACAAUUGAGCUGCAUUUGUCAGGACUCCAGGGACUCAGGCUGAUUGCAUGCACGUGCUGAGGCAAGGCACGUGGAGGACACGUGAUGUUUGGCAGGUAUAAAUAAAACUAGAUGGCGUGACUUCACUUCCCUGAGAGAGGAUUCCCUGUGAGAGGCACAGCCAAGAACUUCUCCUGGAAUUCCUGCUGGCCCUUCCUACUGACUGAGGCCUGGCUGUCUCUGCUAAGUUGUGUCACUGUUGUAGCUAUUCUGACUCUACCGAACUGGACUGCUGGUGUAUCUGUGGGGUGUUUGCAAGUGGAUGGUGCUGCUGCUGCCUGCUAACCUGUGAACUGAACUGCAGAUUCUCAGACAACACAGACAGGAGUUGCUCCAAAGAACCUUUCUAAACUGGUCCACUUCCCCUGCCACAGCCCUGUAUCUUUUCUUUCCACUACUCUUGUGGGUGGUGGGCGGUGGGAGAUGGGUUACCAGGGAGGUUAAAGUGGUUAAGAACCACCAUUAG